rnacentral:tRNA from 1 species
UCGCUGGUGGUCCAGUGGUUAGGACUUGGUCCUUCCACUGCCACGGCCCCAGGUUCAGUUCCUGACCAGGGAA